CCCAGGGAUCGAACCUGCAUCUCUUAUGUCUCCGGCAUUGGCAGGGGAUGCCCACUUCUUGCUUACAUAAGACUGAAAAUAAAUCAUAUAGGACCACAGUGUUGCUAGAACAGAAAGAAGCUGAUUUUUCAACAAGCUGAUUCCAGAAUAUAAUCAAAUGAAUCGGAGGAGUCACCUAGAAAGGGAUACCUGCCCAGGACAUUUUAUAACUCCUGUCUGUGACUCUCUUCAAAGCAAGUCACAGUAACUGCCAAUUACCGAGCUCUUGGAAUAUUGCAUGAACCAUACAAAUCAUUUAAGACGUUUCAUCUAACAUGAUCCUUCACAACAGCAGCAUGAGGUGGUCCAGAUGGGAAAAAUCCCAGAGAUUACGAAACCUAAAAUGCCGAGUGGUCCCAAGUCAGGGGCUGGCAGGUAAGGAA